CCUACGGGAGGCAGCAGUGAGGAAUAUUGGUCAAUGGGCGAGAGCCUGAACCAGCCAAGUCGCGUGAAGGAUGAAGGAUCUAUGGUUUGUAAACUUCUUUUAUAUGGGAGUAAAGUGAGGAGCGUGUUCCUUUUUGUAUGUACCAUAUGAAUAAGCAUCGGCUAACUCCGUGCCAGCAGCCGCGGUAAUACUGAGGAUGCGAGCGUUAUCCGGAUUUGUUGGGUGUAAAGGGUGCGUAGGUGGUUAAUUAAGUCAGCGGUGAAAGUUUGUGGCUCAACCAUAAAAUUGCAGUUGAUACUGGUUGACUUGAGUAUAUUAGAGGUAAGCGGAAUGCGUGGUGUAGCAGUGAAAUGCAUAGAUAUCACGAAGAACACCGAUUGCGAAGGCAGCUUACUAAACUAUAACUGACACUGAGGCACGAAAGCGUGGGGAUCAAACAGGAUUAGAUACCCGGGUAGUC
rnacentral:rRNA from 1 species